UACAGAGGUCUCAAGCGUUGUUCGGAUUCAUUGGGCGUAAAGGGUGCGUAGGUGGCGCGCUAAGUCAGGUGUGAAAUCUCGGGGCUUAACUCCGAAACUGCAUUUGAUACUGGCGUGCUUGAGGACUGGAGAGGAGACUGGAAUUCAUGGUGUAGCAGUGAAAUGCGUAGAGGUCAUGAGGAAGACCAGUGGCGAAGGCGGGUCUCUGGGCCGGUACUGACGCUGAGGAGCGAAAGCGUGGGGAGCGAACAGG
rnacentral:rRNA from 1 species